GACGGAGGGGGCUAGCGUUGUUCGGAAUUACUGGGCGUAAAGAGCGCGUAGGCGGAUUAGUAAGUUGGAAGUGAAAGCCCAGGGCUUAACCCUGGAAUAGCUUUCAAAACUGCUAGUCUUGAGUGAAGUAGGGGGUGAUGGAAUUCCUAGUGUAGAGGUGAAAUUCUUAGAUAUUAGGAGGAACACCGGUGGCGAAGGCGGUCACCUGGGCUUCAACUGACGCUGAGGCGCGAAAGCGUGGGGAGCAAACAG
rnacentral:rRNA from 1 species